rnacentral:lncRNA from 1 species
GGUCGGAGAGAUGUGGGCAUUAAGAGGAGCUCAACGGAGCUGCCCCGUCGUGCUCGCCACCAGCAAACUCCAGUCGGUUGGGGCAGUAGUAGUCGCCGGCGCCGAUGAGGCGCAAGGUGUAUUUAUUCGUCCCCCUGCAGUCCCCGCUCUGUCCAAUUUUUUGUUCUAUGUGUCUGCCCUCCUUCGUGCUUGAUUCAGUUCGUCGUGAUUCUCGCCGGCGCCGGUGGUUUAGUUCGUUGGCUUUUGGCAGGAAUGUUUUGCGGUAGCUUAGUUCAACCAUGGAGAUUUUUUUAGUGAUUCAUCAGAAUUCAGAAACGCGCCCUGGAUUUGUUGCAGCCACCUCUUCCGCGUGUGUCAUCCUAUCCCCAAAAUAUCCCUCACCAAGUGCAUGUUGUCUUGGAUGUAGAUGUCUAUUUUUGUUUCUACGAAGUGUUGAGUGUCAAUUUUUCAUUUACUAAGUAGGUGGUGUGGGGAGUAGGUACAUGUAUACAUUUUCUGGCAUAAACUGUUUAGGUGGCAGUCCUAAACUGAAAUUAUGAAGUUUAGUUCAUAUUCUUGGAGGUAUACAAGCAGUGCGGCAUGUCACUCGCAACUCAUGUUUAUUUCAGUCAUUCUCAAGCAAGUGGAUGUGAUCUAGUUUUGGUACUAGAUUAUUAAGUUUUUUAAGCAUGUUCUGUAGAUUAUAAAGAUUCAGUUAAUUUUACGCAGGUCGGCAUGCCGGAGACGGCACCAUUCUCUCACUGCGGUAGCAUCCAUUACCCGACGACGACGUGGAUUUAGGACAGUUAUACGUUUAUGGAGCCUCGUGUGAGCAAUAAUCCAAAAACUACAGGGAUGUUGACAGCUCAAACCUCGGCCAACAUGGUCGGUCGGAACCAUCAUGAGCUAGCAGGCAGCCGAGGUCUGCACAGGCUUGCUAUGGCCAAAAACGUUAGAUGUGGCUAAUGCGCGUAGGCGAAGGGUUUCUUUCUGUUAUGCGGCGUCGUAGAUAAGUACAGCGGCUAGCAAUGAUUUAUUCAGUGUGAAGAGGCAUUAUGACAGCGGCUGGUAGAUGAACUUCAGUGACAGCAAUGCACGUAAAUCAAGUGUUUUUGUAUCGUGUUAUUAAGGAGAACAGCUACCAAGAAUGCAUUCAGGCUAUUAGUUUACAACU